rnacentral:rRNA from 1 species
CGGAAAGACCCCGUGAACCUUUACUAUAGCUUGACACUGAACAUUGAGCCUUGAUGUGUAGGAUAGGUGGGAGGCUUUGAAGCGUGGACGCCAGUCUGCGUGGAGCCAACCUUGAAAUACCACCCUUUAAUGUUUGAUGUUCUAACGUGGACCCGUGAUCCGGGUUGCGGACAGUGUCUGGUGGGUAGUUUGACUGGGGCGGUCUCCUCCUAAAGAGUAACGGAGGAGCACGAAGGUUGGCUAAUCCUGGUCGGACAUCAGGAGGUUAGUGCAAUGGCAUAAGCCAGCUUGACUGCGAGCGUGACGGCGCGAGCAGGUGCGAAAGCAGGUCAUAGUGAUCCGGUGGUUCUGAAUGGAAGGGCCAUCGCUCAACGGAUAAAAGGUACUCCGGGGAUAACAGGCUGAUACCGCCCAAGAGUUCAUAUCGACGGCGGUGUUUGGCACCUCGAUGUCGGCUCAUCACAUCCUGGGGCUGAAGUAGGUCCCAAGGGUAUGGCUGUUCGCCAUUUAAAGUGGUACGCGAGCUGGGUUUAGAACGUCGUGAGACAGUUCGGUCCCUAUCUGCCGUGGGCGCUGGAGAACUGAGGGGGGCUGCUCCUAGUACGAGAGGACCGGAGUGGACGCAUCACUGGUGUUCGGGUUGUCAUGCCAAUGGCACUGCCCGGUAGCUAAAUGCGGAAGAGAUAAGUGCUGAAAGCAUCUAAGCACGAAACUUGCCCCGA